rnacentral:pre_miRNA from 1 species
AAUAAGAUCAUUUUUCAGUUUUUUUAUACAAUGGUUUGACUCUUCGUUUUAUUUAAAUUUUUUUGCGAUUAAUAUUUUUGUUUUUAUUAGAUGAUAAAUCAUGAAUAGUACUUUAUACAUGACUAUUUUUUAAAGUUUUUUACAAAAUUUUCAAAUAAGACGAAUGGUCAAGCGUUGGACAUGAAAAA